GACGAACGCUGGCGGCGUGCUUAACACAUGCAAGUCGAACGGAAAGGCCCUGCUUUUGUGGGGUUCUCGAGUGGCGAACGGGUGAGUAACACGUGAGUAACCUGCCCUUGACUGUGGGAUAACUUCAGGAAACUGGGGCUAAUACCGGAUAUGAGCUCCUGCUGCAUGGUGGGGGUUGGAAAGUUUCGGCGGUUGGGGAUGGACUCGCGGCUUAUCAGCUUGUUGGUGGGGUAGUGGCUUACCCAGGCUUUGACUGAUAGGCGGCCUGGGAGGGUGACCGGGCACAUUGGGCCUGAGAUACGGAGCAGACUCGUAUGGGAGGCAGCAGGGGGAAAUAUUGCACAAUGGGCGGACGCGUGUUGAGGCGACGCCGCGUGCGGGAUGACGGCCUUCGGGUUGUAAACCGAUUUCGCCUGUGACGAAGCGUGAGUGACGGUAAUGGGUAAAGAAGCACCGGCUAACUACGUG
rnacentral:rRNA from 1 species